CCUACGGGUGGCAGUAGUGAGGAAUAUUGGUCAAUGGACGAAAGUCUGAACCAGCCAAGUAGCGUGAAGGAUGACGGCCCUAUGGGUUGUAAACUUCUUUUAUAUGGGAAUAAAAUGUUCCACGUGUGGGGUGUUGUAUGUACCAUAUGAAUAAGGAUCGGCUAACUCCGUGCCAGCAGCCGCGGUAAUACGGAGGAUCCGAGCGUUAUCCGGAUUUAUUGGGUUUAAAGGGAGCGUAGGCGGAUUGUUAAGUCAGUGGUGAAAGUUUGCGGCUCAACCGUAAAAUUGCAGUUGAAACUGGCAGUCUUGAGUACAGUUGCGGUGGGCGGAAUGCGUGGUGUAGCGGUGAAAUGCUUAGAGAUCACGCAGAACACCGAUUGCGAAGGCAGCUCACUGGACUGCAACUGACACUGAGGCUCGAAAGUGUGGGUAUCAAACAGGAUUAGAUACCCCAGUAGUC
rnacentral:rRNA from 1 species